rnacentral:rRNA from 1 species
GCAAGUCGAACGGCAGCACAGGGUAGCUUGCUAUCCGGGUGGCGAGUGGCGGACGGGUGAGUAACGCGUAGGAAUCUACCUUUUCGUGGGGGAUAACCCGGGGAAACUCGGGCUAAUACCGCAUACGCCCUACGGGGGAAAGCGGGGGACCUUCGGGCCUCGCGCGGAACGAUGAGCCUGCGUCCUAUCAGGUAGUUGGUGAGGUAAUGGCUCACCAAGCCGACGACGGGUAGCUGGUCUGAGAGGACGACCAGCCACACUGGGACUGAGACACGGCCCAGACUCCUACGGGAGGCAGCAGUGGGGAAUAUUGGACAAUGGGGGAAACCCUGAUCCAGCAAUACCGCGUGUGUGAAGAAGGCCUUCGGGUUGUAAAGCACUUUUAGCAGGAAAGAAAGACAAUGCGCUAAUACCGCAUGGUUUUGACGUUACUUGCAGAAAAAGCACCGGCUAACUCCGUGCCAGCAGCCGUGGUAAUACGGAGGGUGCAAGCGUUAAUCGGAAUUACUGGGCGUAAAGCGCGCGUAGGCGGCUUGUUAAGUCGGAUGUGAAAUCCCCGGGCUCAACCUGGGAACUGCAUUCGAUACUGGCUGGCUAGAGUGUGGUAGAGGGAAGUGGAAUUCCAGGUGUAGCGGUGAAAUGCGUAAAUAUCUGGGGGG